CAGCCGCCGCGGUAAUACGUAGGUCCCGAGCGUUGUCCGGAUUUAUUGGGCGUAAAGCGAGCGCAGGCGGUUAGAUAAGUCUGAAGUUAAAGACUGUGGCUUAACCAUAGUACGCUUUGGAAACUGUUUAACUUGAGUGCAAGAGGGGGGAGUGGAAUUCCAUGUGUAGCGGUGAAAUGCGUAGAUAUAUGGAGGAACACCGGUGGCGAAAGCGGCUCUCUGGUCUGUCACUGACGCUGAGGCUCGAAAGCGUGGGUAGCGAACAGGAUUAGAUACCCCAGUAGUCCCUGUCUCUUAUACA
rnacentral:rRNA from 1 species